UGGGGUGUGGCUCAGUGGUAGGGUGCUUGCCUAGCACAUGUGAGGCUCUGGGUUCUAUCCCCAGCACAUUAA
rnacentral:tRNA from 1 species